UGCCUCUGCACCCUUAUCAGCGUUGAAUACGCACGUUUCUGCAUUUUCAGUCUCAGAAGAUACCCAAAAUGGCAAACGAAAUUCGAUUCUUCGAAUUGAACACCGGAGCUAAGAUGCCUUCCGUCGGGCUCGGCACGUGGCAGGCUNAGGCUGACCCUGGUCUUGUCGGUGAUGCCGUAGCCGCCGGCAUCAAGAUUGGUUACCGUCAUAUUGAUUGUGCUCAAGCUUACGACAACGAGAAGGAGAUUGGUUCAGUAUUGAAGAAGCUCUUUGAAGACGGUGUGGUGAAGCGUGACGAUUUAUUUAUUACCUCCAAACUCUGGUCUUCUAAUCAUGAACCAGAAGAUGUUGUACGGGCAUUGGAAGGAACUCUGCAGGACUUGCAGCUUGAUUAUGUUGAUUUGUACCUUAUCCAUUGGCCAGCUAAGAUGAAGAAGGGGUCAGUUGACUUGAAUCCUGAGAACUUUGAUCAACCGGAUAUUCCUAGCACAUGGAAGGCAAUGGAAGCACUCUAUGAUACUGGCAAGGCUCGUGCUAUUGGUGUGAGUAACUUCUCUUCAAAGAAACUGGGGGAAUUGCUAGAGGUGGCACGUGUUCCUCCUGCUGUGAAUCAGGUGGAGUGCCAUCCUUCGUGGCAGCAGUCUAAGCUACGUGCAUUUUGUCAGUUCAAGGGAGUUCACCUCACCGGAUUUGCACCUUUAGGAUCCCCUGGCACCACAUGGCUUAAGAGUGAUGUCCUUAAGAAUCCAAUUCUUAAUGCCAUUGCACAGAAAUUGGGGAAAACUCCUGCCCAAGUUGCUCUUCGCUGGGGUCUGCAAAUGGGCCAUAGCGUACUUCCAAAGAGUACAAAAGAAGAAAGGAUCAAAGAGAACUUUGAUGUCUUCCAAUGGUCGAUUCCAGAUGACUUGUUUGCCAUGUUUUCUGAAAUUGAGCAGGCAAGACUUAUCAAGGGGGCUUUUUUCGUCCAUGAGACAUUUGGGCCGUAUAAGACUGUUGAGGAACUGUGGGAUGGUGAGAUCUAAGGAGUAAGGCUAUGUUGUGGACACAUUCAUAGGCAAGAGCUACAAUAGGCGCGGGGCUUGCGGCUAGAGGGAAUUCAAAUUGUCGACUUCAGGCAGCAUUCGUUAUUUCCAGAUUAUGUUUACUUUUCCCAUUUAAUUGUUAUUUCCUUUUUAGUUGUAAGUAAUUUUCUUGUUGGUUUACGACUUCUAUUAUUAGUAGAAUUCCAAUAAAUUGCUUGUAACCUUCUCUUAUAUGAAGGAGGGCGAUGAAAUAAUAAUUAAAUGGGAAAAGUAAACAUAAUCUG
rnacentral:misc_RNA from 1 species